UACGGAGGGGGCUAGCGUUGUUCGGAAUUACUGGGCGUAAAGCGCACGUAGGCGGCUUUGCAAGUUAGAGGUGAAAGCCCGGGGCUCAACUCCGGAAUUGCCUUUAAAACUGCAUCGCUAGAAUUGUGGAGAGGUAAGUGGAAUUCCCGAGUGUAGAGGUGAAAUUCGUAGAUAUUCGGAAGAACACCAGUGGCGAAGGCGACUUACUGGACACAUAUUGACGCUGAGGUGCGAAAGCGUGGGGAGCAAACAGG
rnacentral:rRNA from 1 species